AAUCAAUAAAAACAGUCGGCAAGGGGCCCAGUGGGGGAAGAGAGAAAUCUCCACUACAGCAUUCAGUUUGCUUUCCACUUUCUCCCUCCCCCUCUAAAGUUAAACUCCGAAGAUCACCAUGACAAGCUACUUCUCUUCCAGCGCUGGGAAGACGCUGGUGGGGAUUUAAAGGAAGCGAGCGCUUUCCUUCGCCUCCCUGCCUUCGCUCUCCCCCCAGCGCGAAGGAAAUGAAAGGCUUGUUUGGAAUUUGAAUCUCGCCUGGAAAAACUUCAUUGGACAAGUGCAUCGUUCUGCAUUUCAGGAAAGGGAUGGAUUUUACGGUCAGAGAAUGCUAAAAGGUGAGAGGGGGAAGAAAAGCAGGAAUCUGAUCCAGCCGGAGCCCACGAGCGGGAUGGGAUGUCCGAGCCGGCGGAGGGGACCCCUGGAGCUGCGGGAAGGACUGCGAGCAAGUGCCUGAGGUCAUCCACAUCCUGAGGCACCUGGAACGCUGGGAACACGUGACGGACACGCCAACCCAGUGGCUCCAUCUCAGACUGACAUUCUCCUGGGCUGCACCUCAGAAAAGCUGGUAACCAGCAAAGAAGACACAAAAGCUAAAAAUCACUAUGUGGAGCUGUGAAGCCUUAAUCAACAGUACCGAGAACAGUGAGGACCAGCAUCUCUGCCAUGACUUCGACCUUGUGCUUUCCAUCUUUUCCCUUCUCUACCUCAUUGUAUGUUUCCCAAUUGGCCUUUGUUACAAUGGCCUGCUGGUCCUAGUUAACCUCUACAACAAAGCUACUAUGACUAUGCCAGAUGUUUACUUUGUCAACAUUGCCAUUGCUGGCCUCAUCAUCAACACUCUGGCACCAAUGUACCUGCUGGGUCUUGCCAAUACAAAAUGGGCCAUCUGGAAUUCCAACAAUGAAGUUUAUAUCACCUUCCUUAUUUUAUUCAACGUCUCAUCGUUAGUUACCAUGUACUCUACCACACUGCUCAGUCUGGACUACUACAUCGAACGUGCCCUGCCCAGGACUUACAUGUCCAGUGUGUACAACACCAAACACGUCUGCGGCUUCAUCUGGGGUGGGGCCAUGCUCACAAGCUUUUCAUCUCUCCUGUUCUACGUCUGCAACCACGUGUCCACCAAAAUAAUCGAGUGUUCCAAGAUGCAGAACCAGGAAGCAGCAGAUGCCAUCAUGGUGUUUAUCGGGUACGUCGUUCCCGCCAUCGCUGUUCUCUACGCGCUGACGCUGAUCCUGCGGAUACGCAAGGAGGCCACGCCACUGGACCAGGACACUGGGCGCUUGGAUCCAUCAGUGCACAGGCUUCUGAUUGCCACAGUCUGCACACAGUUCACCCUGUGGACACCCUAUUACGUUAUUCUCUUGGUAAGCACGUUUAUUAACCUACGAGGAAGAAUUCCAGAUGUAAAUUCCAUUCAGAUAUUACACUUUGCCACGAUUUUGUCAAAAUUCCUGGCUUUCUCCAGCAGCUUUGUCAUGCCUCUGCUCUACAGAUACAUUAACAAAAACUUUCCCAACAAAUUACGGCGUUUGCUUAAAAAGAUACACUGUGGGAACCAGGGGUGUUCUCACGAGCGCACAGUGGUACAGCAGGUCAUGACAUAGGUGUGACACAACCCCUGGUGCUCUGUGACUGCAGCACUGGGUGCUCAGUGCUGGGACUGUGACACUGCUGUGCUGGCACUCAGAGACAUUUGAGAGUCCCAGCCAAGAGGCUGGAAGGGCCUUCCAUUGCAGCUGAAUGCAACAGUUUUAAUUUUCCAGUAGUUGUUGGCUGAAUUGGUGUGAGGCUCUGGCCUGCAUUACCUGUGACAUCUGAUACCUUCAGUGCACUGAACUGCUGACAAAGGAUGAACUCUGGUUUCAUGGCUCUGAUCUUCCUGUCUGAAGAAAUCACUAAGCAGUUAAUUGAAGUCUUGACUGAAGACACAGCACCUUGUAUCUUGUAUAGGAAAAGAGCUACGGAUGUUUGUCAGUAUCCUUGAUAAACACUAAAUGUGAUGGCAAUCAUAGAUACAACAACUUGGAUAAUUUAAUGAACAAGACUGCUAUCCACUCAACCUCUUAGAAAAGGUAAUUUGAUUUAUUAGUUGUCUCAAAGAAACUGUGCCGUGGAUCUGCCUGGCUGCUGUUCUCCUAAGGGAAUUCUGAACUUAAUUGCAGCACCCUCACCUGGUAUCUCUUAAAAAGCAGCAUCCCAAAAAGAGAGAGCUUUGCAGUAUUUAUAGAAAGAGCAGUAGAGGAGCAACUGCAGUAAAAUACUUAAGGAAAUACAACGUAUCAUAAAUUAGGAAGAACUUUUAUGGACAAACACUUAAAACACAAAGUUCUCAAGAAUGGGGCCUUUCCAUUUCAAAUAACUGAAGGUUUCUGGUGACUGUAAAUAGGGGCUUAUCUAUUACACAUUUAAAUAGAUAUGAAUAAAUGACUGUAUAUAUGCAAGAUAAAAAUCAGCCUACUGAUGUAAAAAGAAUCUGCAAAGAGUUUAUUAAAUUAUUUCUAAAAGUGUAUCAUUUAAAUGUAAACCUCUGAACAGGAAGGUGUACUGUAUGCUUCGGUAUGUAUAUAAUGUGUACUAGAAAGUAAGCACUAGUUAAGUGCCAUUAUUAACAGUGUUAUUUUCUCACAAAAUUAAACUUAAUAUUUGAAUUGAUUUAUGGCUUACAGCCCUCUUGCUGAACUGCUAAUUAAGUCAAAUCAAUGAACUAACAAAAAAUGUCAUGCUCUGCUUCUGAGUUAUUAACACAGCUAGCUCAAGACAGGUCCUUGUUGACCAACUUAGUAGAGGUCCCAGUUUCAAAAGUUUACAUCUUGGAAUCAAAUCUUGUUGGUCUCUGAAGAUCUAAUUUCAGUUAAUAAAAGAAGGUGAUCAGCCACUAGAAAAUUCCUGGUUCUAUUACAAUGAAGAGAUGUGGACUCCAAUAGCAUGUCAAAAUACUACAGAAAUGGACUUUCUGGAAAGUUUCAUAAAGGAAGUAUUGACUCAUAAUACAUUCUCAAUAAAAAGUGUUCAAGUGUA